UCCGUAGGUGGAUAAUUAAGUCAGAGGUGAAAUCCUGCAGCUCAACUGUAGAAUUGCCUUUGAUACUGGUUAUCUUGAGUCAUUAUGAAGUGGUUAGAAUGUGUAGUGUAGCGGUGAAAUGCAUAGAUAUUACACAGAAUACCGAUUGCGAAGGCAGAUCACUAAUAAUGUACUGACACUGAUGGACGAAAGCGUGGGGAGCGAACCGGAUUAGAUACCCGCGUAGUCC
rnacentral:rRNA from 1 species